CAAUAGCGUAUAUUAAAGUUGUUGCAGUUAAAAAGCUCGUAGUUGGAUUUCUGGUAGGAGCGACCGUUCCGAACUUGAUUGUUCGUGUAUUGUGUUGUCUUCAGCCAUCCUCGUGGAGAACUUUUCGGGCAUUAAUUUGUCGGGAUUGGGACCCGCGUCGUUUACUGUGAAAAAAUUAGAGUGUUUAAAGCAGGCAAUCGCUUGAAUACAUUAGCAUGGAAUAAUAAGAUAGGACUUUGGUACUAUUUUGUUGGUUUGCAUACCAAAUUAAUGAUCAACAGGAACAGUUUGAGGAUAUUCGUAUGAACAUGUCAGAGGUGAAAUUCUUGGAUUUUGAUCAGACGAACUACUGCGAAAGCAUUUAUCAAGGAUGUUUUCAUUAA
rnacentral:rRNA from 1 species